rnacentral:rRNA from 1 species
GAUGAACGCUAGCGGCAGGCUUAAUACAUGCAAGUCGUGGGGCAGCAUGAGUGUAGCAAUACAUUUGAUGGCGACCGGCAAACGGGUGCGGAACACGUACACAACCUUCCUUUAAGUGGGGAAUAGCCCAGAGAAAUUUGGAUUAAUACCCCGUAACAUAUAGAAGUGGCAUCACUUUUAUAUUAUAGCAGCAAUGCGCUUGAAGAUGGGUGUGCGGCUGAUUAGAUAGUUGGCGGGGUAACGGCCCACCAAGUCGACGAUCAGUAACUGGUGUGAGAGCACGACCAGUCACACGGGCACUGAGACACGGGCCCGACUCCUACGGGAGGCAGCAGUAAGGAAUAUUGGUCAAUGGACGCAAGUCUGAACCAGCCAUGCCGCGUGGAGGAUGAAGGUCCUCUGGAUUGUAAACUUCUUUUAUCUGGGAAGAAAUCUACCUUUUCUUGGGUAGUUGACGGUACCAGAUGGAUAAGCACCGGCUAACUCCGUGCCAGCAGCCGCAGUAAUAC